UGAAGAUAUUAAGGGCACACGGUGGAUGCCUUGGCAUAGGAAGUCGAUGAAGGACGUGAUAAGCUGCGAUAAGCUGUGGUGAGCUGCACUUAGGCGUUAUUAACCGCAGAUCUCCGAAUGGGGCAACCCACACAAGGUAAUGCUUGUGUAUCACUGCCUGAACACAUAGGGCAGUCGAAGGCAACCAGGGGAACUGAAACAUCUAAGUACCCUGAGGAAAAGAAAUCAACCGAGAUUGCGCUAGUAGCGGCGAGCGAACGCGCACAGAGCCCAAACCCAUGUAUGUGUAAGCUUUAGGGCGUUGCUGCAUGAGGUGUUGUGGGGUCUAAUUUCAACUUGGCCUAAAACAAGUUGGGCAGUUACAAAAUAUCGUUAUAGCAAAAGCAGAUGGAAAGCUGCGCAAGAUAAGGUUAAAGCCCUGUAUGCGACAUAGCGAUAUCUGUCUAUUAGAUACCCGAGUAAUGCCGGACACGUGAAACCCGGUAUGAAUCUGGGGGGACCACCCUCCAAGGCUAAAUACUCUCCUAUGACCGAUAGCGAACCAGUACCGUGAGGGAAAGGUGAAAAGUACCCCGAGAGGGGAGUGAAAUAGUACCUGAAACCGUGUGCCUACAAGCAGUUGGAGCUACUUUACGUAGUGACAGCGUGCCUUUUGUAGAAUGAGCCAGCGAGUUACGGUGUGCGGCAAGGUUAAGGUUUGAACCGAGCCGUAGUGAAAGCGAGCCUUUAAGAUGGCGUGUUAGUCGUAUGCCGUAGACGCGAAGCCGGGUGAUCUAUCCAUGGGCAGGCUGAAGCAGAGGUAAGACUCUGUGGAGGGCCGAACCCACUUCGGUUGAAAACGGAGGGGAUGACCUGUGGAUAGGGGUGAAAGGCCAAUCAAACCCGGAGAUAUCUCGUUCUCCCCGAAAUAGCUUUAGGGCUAGCCUCGAAUCGUUUACUUGCGGUGGUAGAGCACUGGAUUUGUGCGGGGGCUUCACCGCCUACCAACCAAAACCAAACUCCGAAUGCCGUAAGUUUAGAGAUCGGGAGUCAGAACAUGUGGGCUAAGCCGUGUGUUCGAGAGGGAAACAGCCCAGACCGCCUGCUAAGGUCCCUAAAUUCGUGCUAAGUGGCAAAGGAUGUGCGUUUGCCUAGACAACCAGGAUGUUGGCUUAGAAGCAGCCAUGCAUUUAAAGAGUGCGUAACAGCUCACUGGUCAAGUGGACAUGCGCCGACAAUACACGGGGCUAAGCACGAUACCGAAGCAGCGGACUGAUUUAUCAGUGGUAGGGGAGCUUUCUUAUCUGGGUUGAAGCUUUGUGGUAACGCAAGGUGGACUGAUAAGAAGUGAGAAUGCUGGCAUGAGUAACGAGAGAGGAGCGAGAAACUCCUCCGCCGUAAGCCUAAGGGUUCCUGGGCAAGGCUAAUCCUCCCAGGGUCAGUCGGGAGCUAAGGCGAGGCUGUGAAGCGUAGCCGAUGCACAACAGGUUGAUAUUCCUGUACCACCAUCUAAUCAUUAUGACGAUGGGGUGACGGAGAAGGGUAGCCGGGCGGGGUUCUGGACGUCCCCGUGAAAGCGUGUAGGGUAAGGUUGUAGGCAAAUCCGCGACCUUGUAGGCCUGAGACGUUAGACGAAGCUCUAAGUGAAGUCGGUAAGCCCAUGCUUCCAAGAAAAACCUCUAAGCAGAUUUUAUGGUGCCCGUACCAAAACCGACACAGGUAGGCGGGUAGAGCAUACCAAGGCGAUCGGGAGAACCAUGGUUAAGGAACUCGGCAUAAUGACUCCGUAACUUCGGGAGAAGGAGUGCCCUUGUCUGUGACAGACUACGCGUCUUGAGCGGAUGAGGGUCGCAGCGAAACGGCCCAAGCGACUGUUUAUCAAAAACACAGGACUCUGCUAAGUCGUAAGACGACGUAUAGGGUCUGACGCCUGCCCGGUGCUGGAAGGUUACGUGGAUGUGUUAGCAUCUCGCGAAGCACUGAAACUAAGCCCCAGUAAACGGCGGCCGUAACUAUAACGGUCCUAAGGUAGCGAAAUUCCUUGUCGGGUAAGUUCCGACCUGCACGAAUGGCGUAACGAUUUGGGCGCUGUCUCGACCAUGGACCCGGUGAAAUUGUAUUAUUCGUGAAGAUGCGAAUUACCUGCGGAAGGACGGAAAGACCCCGUGAACCUUUACUGCAGCUUGGCAUUGACUGUUGGUUCGGCGUGUAGAGGAUAGGUGGGAGACUGUGAAGCAGAAACGCCAGUUUCUGUGGAGUCAACCUUGGAAUACCACCCUCGCCGCUCCGGCAGUCUAACGUGUGAGCGUUAUCCGCCACACGGACCGUGCCAGGUGGGUAGUUUGACUGGGGCGGUCGCCUCCUAAAUGGUAACGGAGGCGUGCGUAAGGUUCGCUCAGGAUGGUUGGCAAUCAUCCGUAGAGCACAAGAGUAUAAGCGAGCUUGACUGCGAGACCUACAAGUCGAGCAGAGACGAAAGUCGGUUCUAGUGAUCCGGCGGCCCAGCGUGGAAUGGCCGUCGCUCAACGGAUAAAAGGUACUCCGGGGAUAACAGGCUGAUCUUGCCCAAGAGUCCACAUCGACGGCAAGGUUUGGCACCUCGAUGUCGGCUCAUCGCAUCCUGGGGCUGUAGCAGGUCCCAAGGGUAUGGCUGUUCGCCAUUUAAAGCGGUACGCGAGCUGGGUUCAGAACGUCGUGAGACAGUUCGGUCCCUAUCCUCCGUGGGCGUAAGAGAAUUGAGAGGAUCUGUCCCUAGUACGAGAGGACCGGGAUGGACGGACCUCCGGUGUCGCAGUUGUUGACCAACAGCAUGGCUGCCUAGCCGCGUCCGGAUGUGAUAACCGCUGAAAGCAUCUAAGUGGGAAGCCGACCUCGAGAUGAGUUCUCUUUUUGGUAAGGCCACUUGUAGACUACGAGUUUGAUAGGCCGCAGCUGUAAGGCGAGUAAUCGCUUCAGGCGAGCGGUACUAAUCGGCCGAGCUCUUCAUCUU
rnacentral:rRNA from 1 species